AAGUCGUAACAAGGUUUCCGUAGGUGAACCUGCGGAAGGAUCAUUACCGAGUUGAUUCGAGCUCCGGCUCGACUCUCCCACCCUUUGUGUACCUACCUCUGUUGCUUUGGCGGGCCGCGGUUCGGCCCUCGUGCCGGCUAGCACCCGCCAGAGGACUUCAAAACUCCAGUCAGUGAACGUCUCAGUCUGAAAAACAAGUUAAUAAACUAAAACUUUCAACAACGGAUCUCUUGGUUCUG
rnacentral:misc_RNA from 1 species